GCAAAUUUGUCUUCUUGCCGCCUUAACCGUCAAGAUGGCGUCAAACUGGUGAUUAUGAAUCAUCACAGAACAUGAAAAGAAAGCUCGCCUCUUCGGAAAGGGGGAAAGGAAUUCAAUCAAUCACAAAGUUUUUCAAGGCAGUAACAUCCCAAGGAG